GAUGAACGCUGGCGGCGUGCCUAAUACAUGCAAGUCGAGCGAACAGACGAGGAGCUUGCUCCUCUGACGUUAGCGGCGGACGGGUGAGUAACACGUGGAUAACCUACCUAUAAGACUGGGAUAACUUCGGGAAACCGGAGCUAAUACCGGAUAAUAUAUUGAACCGCAUGGUUCAAUAGUGAAAGACGGUUUUGCUGUCACUUAUAGAUGGAUCCGCGCCGCAUUAGCUAGUUGGUAAGGUAACGGCUUACCAAGGCAACGAUGCGUAGCCGACCUGAGAGGGUGAUCGGCCACACUGGAACUGAGACACGGUCCAGACUCCUACGGGAGGCAGCAGUAGGGAAUCUUCCGCAAUGGGCGAAAGCCUGACGGAGGAACGCCGCGUGAGUGAUGAAGGUCUUCGGAUCGUAAAACUCUGUUAUUAGGGAAGAACAAAUGUGUAAGUAACUAUGCACGUCUUGACGGUACCUAAUCAGAAAGCCACGGCUAACUACGUG
rnacentral:rRNA from 1 species